rnacentral:rRNA from 1 species
AGUGAACGCUGGCGGUAGGCCUAACACAUGCAAGUCGAACGGCAGCACAGUAAGAGCUUGCUCUUACGGGUGGCGAGUGGCGGACGGGUGAGGAAUACAUCGGAAUCUACUUUUUCGUGGGGGAUAACGUAGGGAAACUUACGCUAAUACCGCAUACGACCUACGGGUGAAAGCAGGGGAUCUUCGGACCUUGCGCGAUUGAAUGAGCCGAUGUCGGAUUAGCUAGUUGGCGGGGUAAAGGCCCACCAAGGCGACGAUCCGUAGCUGGUCUGAGAGGAUGAUCAGCCACACUGGAACUGAGACACUGUCCAGACUCCUACGGGAGGCAGCAGUGGGGAAUAUUGGACAAUGGGCGCAAGCCUGAUCCAGCCAUACCGCGUGGGUGAAGAAGGCCUUCGGGUUGUAAAGCCCUUUUGUUGGGAAAGAAAAGCAGCGGGUUAAUACCCCGCUGUUCUGACGGUACCCAAAGAAUAAGCACCGGCUAACUUCGUG